UACGUAGGUGGCAAGCGUUGUCCGGAAUUAUUGGGCGUAAAGUGCGCGCAGGCGGUCCCUUAAGUCUGAUGUGAAAGCCCACGGCUCAACCGUGGAGGGUCAUUGGAAACUGGGGGACUUGAGUGCAGAAGAGGAAAGUGGAAUUCCAUGUGUAGCGGUGAAAUGCGUAGAGAUGUGGAGGAACACCAGUGGCGAAGGCGACUUUCUGGUCUGUAACUGACGCUGAGGCGCGAAAGCGUGGGGAGCGAACAGG
rnacentral:rRNA from 1 species